rnacentral:rRNA from 1 species
UACGUAGGGUGCAAGCGUUGUCCGGAAUUAUUGGGCGUAAAGAGCUCGUAGGCGGUUUGUCGCGUCGGCUGUGAAAACCUGGGGCUCAACCCCGGGCCUGCAGUCGAUACGGGCAGACUAGAGUGCGGUAGGGGAGACUGGAAUUCCUGGUGUAGCGGUGAAAUGCGCAGAUAUCAGGAGGAACACCGGUGGCGAAGGCGGGUCUCUGGGCCGUAACUGACGCUGAGGAGCGAAAGCCAGGGGAGCAAACGGG